AAACAGGUUAAUAUUCCUGUACUUGGUGUUACUGCGAAGGGGGGACGGAGAAGGCUAUGUUAGCCGGGCGACGGUUGUCCCGGUUUAAGCAUGUAGGCGGAGGUUCCAGGUAAAUCCGGUACCUUUUUAACGCUGAGGUGUGAUGACGAGGCACUACGGUGCUGAAGUAACAAAUGCCCUGCUUCCAGGAAAAGCCUCUAAGCAUCAGGUAACAUUAAAUCGUACCCCAAACCGACACAGGUGGUCAGGUAGAGAAUACCAAGGCGCUUGAGAGAACUCGGGUGAAGGAACUAGGCAAAAUGGUGCCGUAACUUCGGGAGAAGGCACGCUGAUAUGUAGGUGAA
rnacentral:rRNA from 1 species